UGGGCACAGAAGCUUAGGACCAUUUUGCUUUGAUAGCAGGGAGAUCCAGGCAAUGGUGUCUUCUCCAUCUGGCCUCUUCAGUCACAGGGAUUCUGCACCAGCAGAACCAGUUAGGGGCCAGCCAUGUUCUGUCACAGCCACAGCAGCCUGGUUGGCUCAGUUCAGUCAUCCCACAGCCCCUGCAAGUCUCCUCAAAGCUCAUACUCUGCUUGGGGCGAAGUGGUAGCUGAACAGAGAAUUCAAGGCAGCAAUUCACGGCACACCAAGAGCAUAGCAUGGAGCCAAUACAUCCAUCCUUCUGUUCAAAAAAUCCAUGGGGAAAAGGGAGAUGUGCAUCAGAAGACAGAGAAGCCAAAAAGUAGCUCUACGACUGCUUGAAUAAUAAAUGUGCCUCAGAAUUUCCA
rnacentral:lncRNA from 1 species